AGUGCAAAUGAGACGCGAGUCAUUGGGUUUUGACACCCAAAGGCAAAGUGAAAUGCAAACGUAUUGUUAUUUGUGGUUGUUCCAUAAUUAAGCGAUAAGCUACGCAUUCUUUCUGGCAUUUGUAAAUUACAAGCGUAAUGUUUGAGACCAGAAUGAUGGUGACCUAUACCUAGUCAAGAUGACACCAGAGGGAACUCUGGUGAAUGUCUGAAGUUAUUCUGACGUGCAAGUCGAUAAUCUGAUCUAGGUAUAAGGGGAAAGGUUAAUUGAACCAUCUAGCAGCUGGUUCUUUCCGAAGUUCCUCUCAGGAUAGCAAGCGUACAUUUUUGGUUUCAUCCCGUAAAGCAAAUGAUUAGAGGCAUUGAGGCGUAUAUAGCCUCAACCUAUUCUCAAAAUUUCAGUGGGCGUGAGUGUUCUUUCUUAAUUGAAUAACGCUGCAAGAUAAAUAUGCUUAGCGGGCCAUUUGUGGUAAGUAGAACUGGCGCUGUGUGUUGAACCAAUUAUUGAUUUAAAAUGUCUAAAGCUGGAAUGCGCAUGAGCUCUAUAAAGGCUGUUAGUUGCUGAAGACAGCAGAAUGGUGGCCAUGAAAGUCGGAAUCCGCUAAGUAGGGUGGCACAACUCACCUGCCAAAGCAACUAUCUCCAAAAAUAGAUGGCGCUAUAGCACUGUACGUAUGUUCAUCACUAUAGACGAAAGAGAAUCAAGCUAACAUUCUUGAACCUACAGACCGGGAGGCCACUCCGAU
rnacentral:ncRNA from 1 species